GGAAACAUAGAGGAAGGUCAAGGGCGAAAUGGAAAAUUUUAAAAAUUAGUUUCAAGAAUUUUAAAAUAAGACCCGCAACAAUUUGGGCCUAAAUGAAAUGAAAAAAAAAAAAGGGGAAAUUGAGGCCCAAAUAUUUGUGUUGGCCGGCCAUGCCCCUCAAAAAGGGCCCAAGCCCAAGUCAACCAAGACCAAAUAAAUAAAGGGCCAUCCAUCAUUUUCCAUUAGGAAGCUUCAAGAAAACAAAGCAAAGAAAAAAAAAAAAAAAAAGAGAAGCCAAGGGUUCGGCCAUACAGAAAGAGAAAGGAAAAAAAAAAUUUGGAGCUCACAUCUUUAGUUCAAAAAUUCAUCUCUUGUGCAAUUACUACUAAGCUCAAAGCCCUCUUUAAUGUGAUACAACUUUGGGAGCAAGAGUACUUUUUUUUAUCAAGUGGGAGAAUUUGGCAAAAAGAUAUUGGAGAGCCCGAGACCUGAGUCGGGAUUGGUUGGCAAGCGAUCGAGAUUUGGUAGUGAGCGAUUGAGGUACGGACGUUCAUUUUGGUGAUCCCCCAGUAUAGGAUACAUACUCUGCCACUUGGAUUACUCCUUUUGAUUCGGAGCUCAUACUUUUGGUACAUAUCUUCUGCUAUACAUAUUCUGUAUAUAUAUAUAUGACUAUUUGGGUACGGCGGGGCCCUGUCCCGUCAUAUGUUUCUGUUAUGUUUUGUAGAGGCCUGUAGUCAUGUAUGUGGGUCAUGGGCCGUGUUUGUUCGUUUGUGAUUAUGAUUUCGUCUUAAUGCGGCCCUGAUUACUAUUAUGGCCAAAACGGCUCAUUUGUCUGUAUAUGUGCGUAUAUCUGGCGAUGUGUAUUCCGCCAAUAUAUUGGAUUUGGAUAUGAUGUUUCUGUACGGGCGACCGCUUAAGAUGACAUUUGUUUGCAGUAUUUGCUUAAAAUAACGUAUGUUAAGUUCGAAUGAAUUUUGAUAUGUCAAUCUGGUACGUAAGUUUAUUUGGGUGUCCAAAUAGGGCACCAGUCGCGGCCCACGAGGCUGGGUCGUGACAGAUACACCCAUACCGGGUGAAAUAUCCUUAAGGACAGUGCCAUUGGCAUGCCUCAAGCUACGAAGAAUGCUCUACAAGUGUUCGUGAUCAAAUAUUUUCCUCAAGCUUAGAAGAAGUUCCUACAAGUGUUCGUGAUCAAGUAUUUUCCUCAAGCCUAGAAGAAGUUCCUACAAGUGUUCGUGAUGAAGAGAAGUCCCUACAAGUGUUCGUGAUGAGGAAAAGUCCCUACACAUGUUAGCGAUGAAGUAUUUUUCGUAAGAUUUCCAAUAAUCUUAAGGAUAUUUUCACUCUCUAUUCUUACGAAAAAAUUGAAAGAGUUAACUUAGUACAAUCUGUCUAAGUUUCAGGUACGCGUUUGCUAAAAAUUUGAAUGUUAAACGUACUUUAUAAGAGGUAGAUGGAUUUAAGGCGAUACAUAUAAUCUCCUUGCUAUUUUAGAAGUAUUUAUGAAUGCAUAUUAUUUGCUAGUACAGACUUGUAGAUUGUUAAUGUGUAUGUGCAUCUAGUAUGGUGAAAGACAUUGCGCUUUAACUUCUCGAUUGUUGGUUUUGUG